rnacentral:rRNA from 1 species
AUGCUCCGGCUCCGAGAGUCCAUCCUUUCCCAUAUCCUCUCCUCUCCCUCCAAAGCUGCAUUCUUCCCACUCAGCCGCCUUCUCUCCGCCCCCGUUUCCCCGAACCCUAGCAGCUUCGCCGUGGAGGAGUACCUCGUCGACACCUGCGGCCUCGCCAGGCCACAAGCCCUCAAGGCCUCCACCAAGCUCUCCCACCUCAAAUCCCCCGCCAACCCCGACGCCGUCCUCGCCUUCCUCGCCGGCCUCGGUCUCUCCGGCCCCGACGUCUCCGCCGCCGUCGCCAAGGACCCGCAGCUCCUAUGCGCCAAAGUGGACAAAACCCUGGCUCCGGUGGUCGAUGGGCUCACCGGCCUCGGCCUGUCGCGUUCCGACAUCGCCCGCCUCGUCUCGCUCGCCCACGCCUACUUCCGCUGUAGAUCCAUAGUCCCCAAGCUGCACUACUACCUGCCCCUCUUGGGCUCCUUCCACAACUUCCUCCGGCUGCUCAAGCACUCACCCCGCCUUCUGUCGUCGGACCUCGACAAGGUUGUCAAGCCCAAUGUUGUGUUUCUUAAGGAGUGCGGGCUAGGUGAUUGUCAUAUUGCCAAGCUGUGUAUCCCUGUACCGAGGAUGCUCGCCACCAACCCGGAGCGCGUCCGGGCAAUGGUGGCAUGUGCUGAAAGAUUGGGUGUACCUCGUGGCACUGGAAUGUUCAGGCAAGCGCUACGGGCUGUCGCGUUUCUCAACGAGGAGAAGAUUGCCGCCAAAGUGAACUACUUGAAGAGUACGUUCAGGUGGUCUGAUGCCGAAGUGAGCAUUGCUGUGCGCAAGUAUCCGAUUCUGCUGGAGAAGUCAAAGGAAUCUCUGAAGCGCAGAUCCGAGUUCCUGUUCUAUAAGGUGGGGGUGGAACCCGUGUACAUUGCUCAUCGACCGGAAAUAAUUUCUUAUAGCAUGGAGGGCCGACUCAGACCCCGGUACUAUGUUAUCAAGUUUCUCAAGCAAAAUGGACUGCUAGAUCGUGACUUGAGCUUAUAUUCUGCGGUCAAGAUGACUGAGAAGGUAUUUGUGGAGAAGCUCAUAUGCCCUCACAGGGAAGCCGCACCACACCUCGCUGAAGACUAUGCAACAGCUUGCAAAGGGGAGAUGCCAAAUAAUUUCAGAUUCAUAUGA